UAGGGAAUCUUCGGCAAUGGGGGCAACCCUGACCGAGCAACGCCGCGUGAGUGAAGAAGGUUUUCGGAUCGUAAAGCUCUGUUGUAAGAGAAGAACGUGUGUGAGCGUGGAAAGUUCACACAGUGACGGUAACUUACCAGAAAGGGACGGCUAACUACGUGCCAGCAGCAGCGGUAAUACGUAGGUCCCGAGCGUUGUCCGGAUUUAUUGGGCGUAAAGCGAGCGCAGGCGGUUUAAUAAGUCUGAAGUUAAAGGCAGUGGCUUAACCAUUGUUCGCUUUGGAAACUGUUAAACUUGAGUGCAGAAGGGGAGGGUGGAAUUCCAUGUGUAGCGGAGAAAUGCGUAGAUAUAUGGAGGAACACCGGUGGCGAAAGCGGCUCUCUGGUCUGUAACUGACGCUGAGGCUCGAACGCGUGGGGAGCAAACAGG
rnacentral:rRNA from 1 species